UACGUAGGAGACGAGCGUUGUCCGGAGUUACUGGGCGUAAAGGGUGCGCAGGUGGCGGCGCGCGUGGGGGGUGAAAUCGCCCGGCUUAACUGGGCGGGGGCCUUCCAGACGGCGUGGCUUGAGCAGCGGAGGGGGACGUGGAAUUCCGGGUGGAGCGGUGAAAUGCGUAGAGAUCGCAAGGAAGACCAGUGGCGAAGGCGGGUCUCUGGACAGUUCCUGACACUGAGGCACGAAGGCCAGGGGAGCAAACGGG
rnacentral:rRNA from 1 species